rnacentral:misc_RNA from 1 species
AAAUUACAAAUCCAUAUGGAAUUAGUACUACGGCUGCUCCAACUUCUCAAUCAUCGUCUCAAUUUGGUACUGCAAGAGAUUAUCAUGAUUUUGAUAUGCAAAAUGACCUUUUCUGGUAUCGGGAGAAAGAUGAAGAUUUUCCCAUGCCACCUUACUUUGGGAACUCAGAUGGUGUGGGGGAUCCUAGUGAGGACAAGUUUGUUUUGUCCGAGAGACACGGUGCCUCCAAUUGGGAUU